rnacentral:lncRNA from 10 species
CCAGUUUUAGCUCGUCAGGUCAUGUAGAUUUACUCUACCAUAUAACAAACCUUUAAAUACCUGAACUGAUACUCAUGCCCUACUUUCUCCACCUGACCUCUGAGGUUGACUUAUUUGGAGGUUCAAGAUAAUUGACCACUAAGUCUGGUUCUGGAGAAGUUGGGUUUCCACAUGCCUUACAGUACAAGUGUGGCAAUUCAGGAGGUGAUCUAGAAGCAAGGUGUCCUUGCUCACGGAAGAAUGACAGCGGGAGAGAAGAUCGAAAUCACUGCCCAGGUUAAUAAAGCAAUAUGUGAGAUGACAGUCCAAGUUAGAAACCAGCCAAAGCUUGGAACGUGCUUCCUUGGGGAUUUCAUGUUCAUAUCAAUGACUGAUUUGGAAUUCGGAUUUGCCUUUGAAUGUUGGAGAGCAUGGAAUCAUGCAAGGAUCAGCAGACAGAUCC